UACGGAGGGGGCCAGCGUUGCUCGGAAUUACUGGGCGUAAAGCGCACGUAGGCGGCUUUCUAAGUCGGGGGUGAAAUCCUGGAGCUCAACUCCAGAACUGCCUUCGAUACUGGAAAGCUCGAGUCCGGGAGAGGUGAGUGGAACUGCGAGUGUAGAGGUGAAAUUCGUAGAUAUUCGCAAGAACACCAGUGGCGAAGGCGGCUCACUGGCCCGGUACUGACGCUGAGGUGCGAAAGCGUGGGGAGCAAACAGG
rnacentral:rRNA from 1 species